GGGCACUUAGCACAGGGGUAGCGCGUUCGCUUCGCAUUGUUAUGAUGUGACCUGCGAGAGGUCGAGGGUUCAAAUCCCUCAGUGUCCA